GCCUGAAGUGACCACUGAAAGUCGAGAGCCACAGCUUGGGAACCAAUCGUUUAUCCAGACAGCGGGCACAGAAGCGGAAGUGCGAGCAACGUGAUAUGUGACGGGCAUUGUAAACAACAGUGAGCCAGUUAGCUUGGAAAAGGAAUGUCGUCUCUACACAAUUAAAGUCUCCAGAAUGUUGUGUGAAGUCCUGCUGUCGUCACUAUGGUUCCUGUUUGUCAUCUUCUGGGUGGAGACAAUCAGCGUUUGGCUGUUUCUGUCCAUGUUUUAUCAGGACAGAGCAUUUUACCACUGGGGAGAUGGGGUAUUUUCAGAUGAUCCUGGACAGAUGAUAUACAUGUUGAGCAGAGUCGAUACACAGAUGCAGACAGAUGUGCAAACCUGAGACCAGAACGGAUCAAGAACUGGACUAAAAGGGCUCCCGGAAGAGGACUGCUGCAGUUAUGUAACUGAAGAGCAUGAUGAAAAGCUUUUUCAACUUUGCACUGACUGCCUGGCACACCAUUGUGCUAAGUCUUUAUUAGCAUAUGUAAAAGUAGAUCGGCUUUUAAUUCUAGGCAGUGGAGAGUUGCUGCAUUACUGAAGAUGCAACUAAGCGGUCGAGGGAAACCCUCAGUAAUGAUGUGUUUAACAGCCAACACUGUAACAUUUAUAUUUUCACCUCAAGAUAUAUGGGAAGUUGAAGAAAGUAGCAUCAGAAGGUUGGUUUGGAAAGAAUAAGAUUCUGAUUUUUGUUUCUGUAAGCUCCAUCUCAGAAUUUCUCUGAGACAGUGUUUUAAAGUUGGCAAUCUAUGCAACUACAGCUGUUGCUGUCUGCAGCUGUUUAAUGUGUUGUGAAUAUCAGAUUGCAGCAAAUCUGUUAAGGCUUGGGCAUAUGAAUGUUUUUAAUAUUUAAAAGAUUUUUUCAGUGAGCUAACCUUGAAUAUUGGAGGUAGAUCAUUAAGAGUUUAUCAUUUUAUCUCAGCUUUAAAAUUAAAUCACACUAACCACACCUUCACUAACACAGAAAAUGUGAUCAAGUGCACAACACUAAUUUAGCUUUGAUAUUCAUUGAAAUACCUCUUCUUCAAUCAAUUUAUUUCACAUAGCUUUCAUGUGCAUCUUUCUCUUUCAUGUGCUGAUGAGCUUUGUGCAAGAUUUUGCUAUUACUGACUGAAAAUCCAUAUAUGUGAUAACUGACACAACAACACAGCAACUGCAAAAGCGCCAUCUACUGAUGAAGAUCAGAAAAUAAGACUGAAAAGUCUUGAAGGGAGAAAUUUAGAAGACAUAGAAAUGUGUUCAUCAGAAAAAUACCUGGAGUAUGAUAAGAGUCUUCUCCCAAAACCUUAUGUUAAAUGUAUAUGCAAUAAGUACAUAAAAAAGCAAUACCAUAUACUGUAACAUGGAUUUUAUAUACUGUAUCUUUGAAAGCCUGUGAUAUUAUUGGUUUCCUUUUAAUUAAAGCUGCUGUUGGUAGUCACAGAGUUCUUAAUAAUCUCAAAUUACUCCACUUACUGAUGAGUACCGAUUGGCAUUGACAUUUUCUCCAAACCAAGCAGAAGAAAGCUAAGUUUUUUACACCAUUCCUACAAACAGCAGCUUUAAUUAAAAGGAUUUGCAUUUGAACAAAACCAGUACACAGCUAUGGCUUGAUUUUGUGGCAAUGGAACUGAAAAUGAAUUUGAAUGUUUUCUAUCGACAAGAUAAAUAAAUGAAAGUAUUUUGAUUUGCAA